rnacentral:rRNA from 1 species
GUAGGUGGCAAGCGUUGUCCGGAAUUAUUGGGGCGUAAAGCGCGCGCAGGUGGGUUCUUUAAGUCUGAUGUGAAAGACCCCCGGGCUCAACCGGGGAGGGUCAUUGGAAACUGGGGAACUUGAGUGCAGGAGAGGAAAGUGGAAUUCCACGUGUAGCGGUGAAAUGCGUAGAUAUGUGGAGGAACACCAGUGGCGAAGGCGACUUUCUGGCCUGUAACUGACACUGAGGCGCGAAAGCGUGGGGAGCAAACAGGAUUAGAUACCCUGGUAGACCACGCCGUAAACGAUGAGUGCUAAGUGUUGGGGGGUUUCCGCCCCUCAGUGCUGCAGCUAACGCAUUAAGCACUCCGCCUGGGGAGUACGGUCGCAAAGACUG